rnacentral:tRNA from 1 species
UCUCUGGUGGCUCAGAGGGUAAAGCGUCUGCCUGCAAUGUAGGAGACCUGGGUUCGAUCCCUGGUUUGGGAA